GAAGUCUCAACAGGAGCGAUAUGAGAACACACAAUCAUAUGCAUAAAUAUUGUGUAUGUGUGUGUGCACGUGUGCAUGUGCAUGUGCGUGCUUGUGUGUUCCCAGGUCGCCCCUGCCGAGCCUGC
rnacentral:pre_miRNA from 1 species